rnacentral:rRNA from 1 species
UACGGGGGGAGCAAGCGUUGUUCGGAUUUACUGGGCGUAAAGGGCGCGUAGGCGGCCAGCACAAGUCAGUUGUGAAAUCUCCGAGCUUAACUCGGAAAGGUCAACUGAUACUGUGCGGCUAGAGUGCGGAAGGGGCAACUGGAAUUCUUGGUGUAGCGGUGAAAUGCGUAGAUAUCAGGAGGAACACCAAUUGCGAAGGCAGCUCGCUGGGACGUAACUGACGCUGAGACGCGAAAGCGUGGGGAGCAAACAGG